rnacentral:rRNA from 1 species
UACAGAGGGGGCAAGCGUUGUUCGGAAUUACUGGGCGUAAAGGGCGCGUAGGCGGCCUGCUAAGUCGAACGUGAAAUCCCCGGGCUCAACCCGGGAACUGCGUCCGAUACUGGUGGGCUUGAAUCCGGGAGAGGGAUGUGGAAUUCCAGGUGUAGCGGUGAAAUGCGUAGAUAUCUGGAGGAACACCGGUGGCGAAGGCGGCAUCCUGGACCAACACUGACACUGAGGAGCGAAAGCCAGGGGAGCAAACGGG